GUUGCCAGUGGCCCUCCGCGCCAGGGUCAGGAUGGGCGCCGACCAGCCUUCCGCCGCCGCACGCGGCUUCGCCACCCUCCGCAGUUCGCCUGGGCCCGGCAGCUGGCUCCGGUCCACGAUCUCAAACUCUUCUCCCGGCUCCGGCUCCGGCUCCGGCUCCUGCCCCGCCCGGGACCGGUCUUCCCCGUCGGCCAUCUUGGUCUUGUCACGUGGCCCCGGGAGGCAGCGGACUCGGCGCGGGCGGGCGCUUUGCCCUUGCUGCUAGUUUUUCGUGUUCGCGACGGGCUUUCCUCUUUAUCGCCCUCCUUUCUUUUCUGUCAUUUUAAAAAAGCUCGGGAAAGUGCAAAUCAUAAGGAGCACCUACGUUCUCAUCACCUGGGAGGACUUGUUUUCGUGGAAUUUAUUCUUGGGCUUUCUCCUUUUGUUGUGGUGCAUCCAGCCUGGCUUGGGCACAGCCCACGUGGCCGUAGUUUUUUUUGUGUGACACUAUUUCCUCUUUUUCAUUUUCAUUUCAUACUUUACUUCUCCUUAGUGAUUUUUCUGCAGCAGUUUUCAGAACAAGCCCUAAAAGAGCGGGUAACGAAGCUGUGGGACAGAUUCUUUUACAAUUUAGGUUAUUACAGAGUAUUGAGUAGACUUCUAAGUAGGAGUAUACAGUGGAAUUUUCCAGAGACUCCAUUUUGUGUGACAUUGCAACAGAUUGAAGGCUGAGGCAGAUCUGAGAAUCCAGCUGUCUUCUACUAAGCCAGACAUUAAAGAGGUUUGUAAAUGUAAAAUAAUGCCACCCUUCUCACUACAUUUUUAGAAGACAUAGUUAUUUUUCAUAAAAGUGUUAUUUAUAUUAACAUGUAUCGGGUUUAUUAU